UACGGAGGGGGCUAGCGUUGUUCGGAAUUACUGGGCGUAAAGCGCACGUAGGCGGCUUGUUGCGUCGUUCGUGAAAUCCCGUGGCUCAACUGCGGGCUUGCGGACGAUACGGGCAGGCUAGAAUUCGGUAGGGGAGACUGGAAUUCCUGGUGUAGCGGUGAAAUGCGCAGAUAUCAGGAGGAACACCGGUGGCGAAGGCGGGUCUCUGGGCCGAUAUUGACGCUGGAGGAGCGAAAGCGUGGGGAGCGAAACAGG
rnacentral:rRNA from 1 species